rnacentral:rRNA from 1 species
GACAGAGGGGGCAAGCGUUGCUCGGAAUCACUGGGCGUAAAGGGCGCGUAGGCGGGAUGGCAAGUCGGUCGUGAAAUCCUUCGGCCCAACCGAAGAACGUCGGCCGAUACUGCCGUUCUUGAGGGAUGCAGAGGAGACUGGAAUUCCCGGUGUAGCGGUGAAAUGUGUAGACAUCGAGAGGAACACCUGCGGCGAAGGCGGGUUGCUGGGCUGACACUGACGCUGAGGCGCGAAAGCUAGGGGAGCGAACGGG